CGCACAUUUAUUCUUACUCUGUUUCUUCUCAAGGUGAAGAUAACUCUUUAUAAAUGUCCUAGAAAAAUAUAGUCGCUUUCUGUUCAUCUUUUGCAAGUAAAAAGGGUGAAUCGUUCCACUACUGACACUU
rnacentral:snoRNA from 1 species